GAUGAACGCUGGCGGCGUGCCUAAUACAUGCAAGUCGAGCGAACGGACGAGAAGCUUGCUUCUCUGAUGUUAGCGGCGGACGGGUGAGUAACACGUGGAUAACCUACCUAUAAGACUGGGAUAACUUCGGGAAACCGGAGCUAAUACCGGAUAGUAUUUUGAACCGCAUGGUUCAAAAGUGAAAGACGGUCUUGCUGUCACUUAUAGAUGGAUCCGCGCUGCAUUAGCUAGUUGAUAAGGUAACGGCUUACCAAGGCAACGAUGCAUAGCCGACCUGAGAGGGUGAUCGGCCACACUGGAACUGAGACACGGUCCAGACUCCUACGGGAGGCAGCAGUAGGGAAUCUUCCGCAAUGGGCGAAAGCCUGACGGAGCAACGCCGCGUGAGUGAUGAAGGUCUUCGGAUCGUAAAACUCUGUUAUUAGGGAAGAACAUAUGUGUAAGUAACUGUGCACAUCUUGACGGUACCUAAUCAGAAAGCCACGGCUAACUACGUG
rnacentral:rRNA from 1 species